rnacentral:rRNA from 1 species
UAAAAGAGUUAAUUUUUAGUACCCCCUGCUCAAUGAGAAUUAAAUAGCCGCAAAAUUUGUGCUAAGGUAGCAUAAUCAUUUGCCUAAUAAUUAUAGGAUAGUAUGAACGGGAUAACAUGUAAAUUUCUAUAUUAAAUAAAUUAAUUAAAUUUAAUAAGUGGGUAAAAAUACUCACAUAAUAAGGGGGACGAUAAGACCCUGUCAAACUUUACCUCACAAGGUUUAGCUGGGGCGGCAAGAAAUUAUUCCUUUACUUCUAACUUUUAGUAAAUCCUGAACAACAGAUAUAACAAGUUACUGCAGGGAUAACAGCACAAUCCCCCUUUAAAGAUCUUAUAAAAAGGGGGGCUUGUGACCUCGAUGUUGAAUUAAAGAUCUUUUUGAGGCAGCUCUCCAAUAAGAAAGUCUGUUCGACUUUUAAACCAUU